GAUGAACGCUAGCGGGAGGCUUAACACAUGCAAGUCGAGGGGCAGCACGGGUAGCAAUACCUGGUGGCGACCGGCAGACGGGUGAGUAACGCGUAUGUAACCUACCCUGUACAGGGGGAUAACCCGGAGAAAUUCGGACUAAUAUCCCAUAGAAAUAUUGGAAGGCAUCUUUUGAUAUUUAAAGUUCCGGCGGUACGGGAUGGGCAUGCGUAACAUUAGCUAGUUGGUAAGGUAACGGCUUACCAAGGCUUUGAUGUUUAGGGGUCCUGAGAGGGUGAUCCCCCACACUGGUACUGAGACACGGACCAGACUCCUACGGGAGGCAGCAGUGAGGAAUAUUGGUCAAUGGGCGCAAGCCUGAACCAGCCAUCCCGCGUGCAGGAAGACGGCCCUAUGGGUUGUAAACUGCUUUUCCAGGGGGAGAAAUUUGCGCACGUGUUGCGUAAUUGACGGUACCUUGGGAAUAAGCAUCGGCUAACUCCGUG
rnacentral:rRNA from 1 species